rnacentral:lncRNA from 1 species
CGGCCUUUGCUUUUUCGUGCUUUCUUUAUCCUUCGUCCCCAUCCAAAAGCUAAGGAUUGGUGGUUCUUUAACCUGAGAAAGGAUUUAUCUUUUAUUUUUGAUCUUCCUUCGUCUAUUCACGAGUGGAAAAAUUAAUUUUUUUUUAUUUCUUCUUCAUCAUUCUACAGUUUUCUUUCAUCCUGGAGAGAUCGAGAACUAGCCUCAA